rnacentral:rRNA from 1 species
ACGAUAUAGUGGCAGACGGGUGAGUAACGCGUGGGAACAUGCCUUUCACUAAGGAAUAGCUUUUGGAAACGAAAGGUAAUACCUUAUACGCCCUUAGGGGGAAAGAUUUAUCGGUGAAAGAUUGGCCCGCGUUAGAUUAGCUAGUUGGUAAGGUAAGAGCUUACCAAGGCUACGAUCUAUAGCUGGUCUGAGAGGACGACCAGCCACACUGGGACUGAGACACGGCCCAGACUCCUACGGGAGGCAGCAGUGGGGAAUAUUGCACAAUGGGCGAAAGCCUGAUGCAGCCAUGCCGCGUGAAUGAUGAAGGCCUUAGGGUUGUAAAAUUCUUUCGCUAGGGAUGAUAAUGACAGUACCUAGUAAAGAAGCCCCGGCUAACUUCGUGCCAGCAGCCGCGGUAAUACGAAGGGGGCUAGCGUUGUUCGGAAUUACUGGGCGUAAAGCGCACGUAGGCGGAUUAUUAAGUCAGAUGUGAAAUCCCAAGGCUCAACCUUGGAACUGCAUUUGAAACUGGUAAUCUAGAGAUCAGGAGAGGUUAGUGGAAUACCGAGUGUAGAGGUGAAAUUCGUAGAUAUUCGGUGGAACACCAGUGGCGAAGGCGACUAACUGGACUGAUACUGACGCUGAGGUGCGAAAGUGUGGGGAGCAAACAGGAUUAGAUACCCUGGUAGUCCACACCGUAAACGAUGAGAGCUAGUUGUCUGCAGGCAUGCCUGUAGGUGACGCAGCUAACGCAUUAAGCUCUCCGCCUGGGGAGUACGGCCGCAAGGUUAAAACCCAAAGAAAUUGACGGGGGCCCGCACAAGCGGUGGAGCAUGUGGUU